GAUAACAGGUUGAUCUUCCCCAAGAGUCGACAUCAGUCCACAUCGACGGGAAGGUUUGGCACCUCGAUGUCGGCUCUUCGCCACCUGGAGCUGUAGGUGGUUCCAAGGGUUGGGCUGUUCGCCCAUUAAUGCGGUACGUGAGCUAGGUUCAGAACGUCGUGAGACAGUUC
rfam:Oryza rufipogon genomic scaffold, chr08